UGGAAUAAGAUAAAUUAUCCG
rnacentral:piRNA from 1 species